ACCAGCAGCCAUAUCACCCUGUAGCCCAAGACUGGUUGCCCACUGAAGCUAAGCAGGGCUGAGCCUGGUCAGUACCUGGAUGGGAGACCUCCUGAGAAAACUAGGUUGCUGCUGGAA
ensembl:rRNA 5S_rRNA 5S ribosomal RNA